CGAGUCCGAGGAGCUAAGGCUCCAAAGUGAUGCGAGUCAGACUUCCCAGAAAAGCCCGAACCACGUUAAUUUCUAAUUACCUGUACCCGAAACCGACACAGGUGGGUAGGUAGAGUAUACUAAGGGGCGCGAGAUAACUCUCUCUAAGGAACUCGGCAAAAUGACUCCGUAACUUCGGGAGAAGGAGUGCCUUAUUUAUAAGGUUGCAAUAACAAGAUCCAAGCAACUGUUUAUCAAAAACACAGGUCUCCGCUAAGUCGUAAGACGAUGUAUGGGGGCUGACGCCUGCCCAGUGCCAGAAGGUUAAAGAAGUUGGUUAGUGUAUGCGAAGCUGAUGACUGAAGCCCUGGUGAACGGCGGCCGUAACUAUAACGGUCCUAAGGUAGCGAAAUUCCUUGUCGGGUAAGUUCCGACCCGCACGAAAGGCGUAAUGAUUUGGAUACUGUCUCGGAGAGAGGCUCGGUGAAAUAGACUUGUCUGUGAAGAUGCGGACUACCUGCACCAGGACAGAAAGACCCUAUGAAGCUUUACUGUAACUUGAAAUUGGAAUUGGACUUUGCUUGCGCAGUAUAGGUGGGAAGCGUUGAAGAUAUUCUUGCGGGAGUAUUGGAGCUAUCAGUGAGAUACCACUCUUGUAAUGUUAGAUUUCUAACUUUGAACCAUAAUCUGGUCAAAGAACAGUUUCAGGUGGGCAGUUUGACUGGGGCGGUCGCCUCCCAAAUGGUAACGGAGGCGUACAAAGGUUUCCUCUGAACGGAUAGAAAUCGUAUCUAGAGUGUAAAGGCAUAAGGAAGCUUGACUGUGAGACCUACAAGUCGAGCAGGGACGAAAGUCGGUCUUAGUGAUCUGACGGUACUGAGUGGAAAGGCCGUCACUCAACGGAUAAAAGUUACUCUAAGGAUAACAGGCUGAUCUCCCCCAAGAGUUCACAUCGACGGGGAGGUUUGGCACCUCGAUGUCGGCUCAUCGCAUCCUGGGGCGGUAGUACGUCCCAAGGGUUGGGCUGUUCGCCCAUGAAAGCGGUACGCGAGCUGGGUUCAGAACGUCGUGAGACAGUUCGGUCCAUAUCCGGUGUAGGCGUUAGAAUAUUGAGAGGAGCCUUCUUUAGUACGAGAGGACCGAGAAGGACACACCGCUGGUGUACCAGUUAUCGUGCCAACGGUAAACGCUGGGUAGCUAUGUGUGGAGUGGAUAACCGCUGAAAGCAUCUAAGUGGGAAGCCCACCUCAAGAUGAGUAUUCUCAC
rnacentral:rRNA from 1 species